AAUGAACGUUGGCGGUGUGCUUAACACAUGCAAGUCGAGCGAGAAAGUUCCUUCGGGGAUGAGUAGAGCGGCGAACGGGUGAGUAACGCGUGAGGAUCUUCCCUUCAGUGAAGGAUACCCUUGAGAAAUUAAGGUUAAUACUGCAUACGACCGUUAUUAACAUAACGGAGAAAGAUGGCUUUAUGCUGUCGCUGAAAGAUGAACUUGCGUUCUAUUAGCUAGUUGGUGGGGAAAGGCUCACCAAGGCGAUGAUGGAUAGCCGCCUGAGAGGGUGAACGGCCACAUUGGAACUGAGAUACGGUCCAGACUCCUACGGGAGGCAGCAGUGAGGAAUAUU
rnacentral:rRNA from 1 species